GAGUAAUGCGUGACCAACCUGCCCCAUGCUCCAGAAUAGCUCUUGGAAACGGGUGGUAAUGCUGGAUGCUCCAACUUGACGCAUGUCUUGUUGGGAAAGUGUUUAGUGGCAUGGGAUGGGGUCGCGUCCUAUCAGCUUGUAGGCGGGGUAAUGGCCCACCUAGGCUUCGACGGGUAGCCGGCCUGAGAGGGCGGACGGCCACAUUGGGACUGAGAUACGGCCCAGACUCCUACGGGAGGCAGCAGG
rnacentral:rRNA from 1 species